rnacentral:rRNA from 1 species
GAGAUUUUCGCAAUGCCCGAAAGGGUGACGCAGCAACGCCGCGUGGGUGAUGAAGCUUUUCGGAGUGUAAAGCCCUGUCAGAGGGGAAGAAACCCCCGCCUUGUGCGGGGCUGACGGUAUCCUCAGAGGAAGCUCCGGCCAACUCCGUGCCAGCAGCCGCGGUAAUACGGGGGGAGCAAGCGUUGUUCGGAAUCACUGGGCGUAAAGGGUGCGUAGGCUGGUUGGUAAGUCAGACGUGAAAACUCCGGGCUUAACUCGGAGCCUGCGUUUGAAACUGCCUAUCUUGAGUACGGGAGAGGGAAGUGGAAUUCCUGGUGUAGCGGUGAAAUGCGUAGAUAUCAGGAAGAACUCCGGUGGCGAAGGCGGCUUCCUAGACCGAUACUGACGCUGAGGCACGAAAGCUAGGGGAGCAAACAGGAUUAGAUACCCUGGUAGUCCUAGCCGUAAACGAUGGGCACUAAGUAGAGGGGUUUUA